UGCCACUUCACACAAUUUUGUGAUUUUGU
rnacentral:piRNA from 1 species